AUUGAACGCUGGCGGAAUGCUUUACACAUGCAAGUCGAACGGCAGCACGGACUUCAGUCUGGUGGCGAGUGGCGAACGGGUGAGUAAUGUAUCGGAACGUGCCCAGUCGUGGGGGAUAACGUAGUGAAAAUUACGCUAAUACCGCAUACGAUCUAUGGAUGAAAGCGGGGGAUCGCAAGACCGCGCGCGAUUGGAGCGGCCGAUAUCAGAUUAGGUAGUUGGUGGGGUAAGGGCCCACCAAGCCAACGAUCUGUAGCUGGUCUGAGAGGACGACCAGCCACACUGGAACUGAGACACGGUCCAGACUCCUACGGGAGGCAGCAGUGGGGAAUUUUGGACAAUGGGCGAAAGCCUGAUCCAGCCAUUCCGCGUGCAGGAUGAAGGCCCUCGGGUUGUAAACUGCUUUUGUACAGAACGAAAAGGUUUCUACUAAUACUAGGAGCUCAUGACGGUACUGUAAGAAUAAGCACCGGCUAACUACGUGCCAGCCGCCGCGGUAA
rnacentral:rRNA from 1 species